rnacentral:tRNA from 2 species
GCUAUUUUGGCAGAAAAGUGUAGUGAUUUUAGAAUUCAUUAAUAUAUAAUUUUAUAUUAUAUAGAUAGUA